rnacentral:rRNA from 1 species
UACGAAGGGGGCUAGCGUUGUUCGGAAUCACUGGGCGUAAAGCGCACGCAGGCGGAUCGUUAAGUCAGGGGUGAAAUCCCGAGGCUCAACCUCGGAACUGCCUUUGAUACUGGCGAUCUUUGAGUCCGGGAGAGGUGAGUGGAACUCCGAGUGUAGAGGUGAAAUUCGUAGAUAUUCGGAAGAACACCAGUGGCGAAGGCGGCUCACUGGCCCGGAACUGACGCUGAGGCGCGAAAGCGUGGGGAGCAAACGGG